rnacentral:rRNA from 1 species
ACACAUGCAGUCGAACGAGAGAUCGCGCCUUCGGGUGGGAGAGUAAAGUGGCGCACGGGUGAGUAACGCGUGGGUAACCUGCCCCUGAAUUCGGGAGUACUCCGCGAAAGCGGUGCUAAUACCGAAUGUCGUCACAGGGACCGUGGUCCCUGGGAUGAAAGGUGACCUCUCCAUGGAAGUUGCCGUUCGGGGAGGGGCUCGCGUACCAUUAGCUUGUUGGUGGGGUAAUGGCCUACCAAGGCUACGAUGGUUAGCUGGUCUGAGAGGAUGAUCAGCCACACUGGCACUGAAACACGGGCCAGACUCCUACGGGAGGCAGCAGUGAGGAAUUUUGCGCAAUGGGGGAAACCCUGACGCAGCAACGCCGCGUGAGUGAAGAAGGCUUUCGGGUCGUAAAGCUCUGUCAAGUGGGAAAAACGUCUUCCCGUUAACAGCGGGAAGGCCUGAUGGUACCACUGGAGGAAGCACCGGCUAACUCCGUGCCAGCAGCCGCGGUAAUACGGAGGGUGCAAGCGUUGUUCGGAAUUACUGGGCGUAAAGAGCGUGUAGGCGGCAAGGUAAGUCAGGCGUGAAAGCCCUGGGCUUAACCCGGGAAGUGCGUUUGAAACUGCCUCGCUCGAGUAUGGGAGAGGAGAGUGGAAUUCCCGGUGUAGAGGUGAAAUUCGUAGGUAUCGGGAGGAACACCCGUGGCGAAGGCGACUCUCUGGACCAAUACUGACGCUGAGACGCGAAAGCG